rnacentral:rRNA from 1 species
UACAGAGGGUGCAAGCGUUAUUCGGAAUUAUUGGGCGUAAAGCGCAUGUAGGUGGUUAGAUAAGUCUGAUGUGAAAUCCCCGGACUCAAUUCGGGAAGUGCAUUGGAUACUGUUUGACUAGAGUAUGGGAGAGGUAAGCGGAAUUCCAGGUGUAGAGGUGAAAUUCGUAGAUAUCUGGAGGAACAACAGAGGCGAAGGCGGCUUACUGGACCAUUACUGACACUGAGACGCGAAAGCGUGGGGAGCAAACAGG